ACAACGGCCCUUUUUAGGGCCACUACAGUAUGAUUUUCUCGUUCUUU
rfam:Echinostoma caproni strain Egypt genome assembly, scaffold: ECPE_scaffold0011622